CAGUAGCCACGGUAAUACAGAGGGUGCGAGCGUUAAUCGGAUUUACUGGGCGUAAAGCGUGCGUAGGCGGCUUCUUAAGUCGGAUGUGAAAUCCCUGAGCUUAACUUAGGAAUUGGAUUCGAUACUGGGAAGCUAGAGUAUGGGAGAGGAUGGUAGAAUUCCAGGUGUAGCGGUGAAAUGCGUAGAGAUCUGGAGGAAUACCGAUGGCGAAGGCAGCCAUCUGGCCUAAUACUGACGCUGAGGUACGAAAGCAUGGGGAGCAAACAGGAUUAGAUACCCCUGUAGUCCCUGUCUCUUAUAC
rnacentral:rRNA from 1 species